rnacentral:lncRNA from 1 species
UGGCCACUCUCAGCAGUCUGCUCCAGCUCUGACAUUUACUUAGACUAUGAGGACAGCUUUUUCCCAUGGAGCACAGGUUCAGAAUUUGUCUAAGUGUGAACCUCUAUGUGUUUAUGUACAUGUUAAAAUGUGUGCUUCUUCAGAGAUCAGCUUUUGGGAAUCUACAAGAUUCAAGAUCAGUGCAGAAGCUGGAAUUAGUUGUAAAGAGCAAAAGAUGAUCUUUGGCAGAUAACACCUGAGCACAAUACUGCCAAGCAUGAAAGAACUGAUAACUACACUUGACGGACAGCUUUUCCUCAGGUCACUGUGCAAAAGAAACAAAGUGUAUAAAUUCACUGGUUAGGAUUCUCACCUAACAGCUACCUGCUGAUGGCCAAUAAAACAGAGAACAAAACAAAAAACAUGGCUUGACAAGAAUGCCAAAAAUACACAAUGGGGAAACGAUAGUCUCUGAUUUUUCCUUUACAUCAGAACAUGUGUUCACCUUGAAAUGCCUAGGAAAAUAGCCAACUGACACCAGUUAUAGAAAUUGAGACUGUGACAGCCAACAACAGCAAGCAACUGAUGUUUGUUUUUAUCGAUGUUUUAACUUUGUUGUUGUUGUUGCCUUCUGUCUUUUAGCAACUUAACAAUUAUUUUCUGGAUAAGGUCUUCAUUUUCAAUUUUUAACAUUUUGUCUUUUUCUUUCUAUUAUAAAAGCACUGUGUGUUCCUUAUUAAAAUGUAGAAAACAGUGACAAAAGCAAAAAACUUUUUGAAAAAUGAUACAACAUCCUACCACCUGAAGACAACUGUUUAAAUUACUGAUUGAUGUUUUGACUUAUUCUUUGGUAUGUUCCGGAUGCUUCCCAACAUUCUCUCCUCCAAAUAAAACCACUGAGCUCCAUAAGGAUUAGUUAACUUCAUCUCAAGGAGAGACUUUCUCUUACAUCAAUUUCAGAAAAAGGAGGGAGAUCCACAGGGCAGGAUUUUCUGUAGCCUAUCCUCCCCCAACUGCCACAUAAUACAGAAAACAACCAAAAAAGAAAGGGCUGCAAUUAGAGGUAAUGCAGGUUUGCUGUUUUAUUCAUCAGUGAAUAAGAUAACUUAAAAGCAAUGAAGAUAUAUUGAAGCAGAAAGAAUAUGGUUACCCAACCUACUUUCUAGGGUACCUCCAGCUGUACUCAGCUCAAUCACAUAGAAAUAUAAACUAAUUGUCUAUCAUACCUCAAAAGUAUAAGCCUUUAUAGCUCCAGAGUUACAAAACAUUUCAUUUGCUUAUGUGAAGAAGCUGAGAGGGACAGCUGUACUUCAACAGUCCUACAAAGUGUGCAUCCUCCUCCAUCCCGCAAGCAAAACAGCAACAUCUACUACAGUCCAACAGUCAUUGGUCUUACGUUUGUGAGAUUAGCAGGAUUGGAGGUUAUAGCUAAGAUUGUGUGACAGCUACCUGAAAGUAACAUCUCUAAUAUAUCUUAAUUAUAUUCAUAAGAUGUGAUCACUGAGACUUCAAACAUUUGUUAAUUAUAUUACUGCAUUCUCUCUAAAGGUGUCUGGCUUCUUUUCCAAAGAGAAGGGUCUCUGCUCAAAUGUAAUCUCCUCAGAGAAUUCUUCCUUGAAUUUCCUGUGUUAAAGUAGGCCACCACCACACACACAUCUGCCCACUAUUACACCACUUGGUUUUAAUUUCUUCAUAGCACUUAUCAUCUGAAAUUAUCUUCUUCAUUCAAUUGUUUGCUCAUUUGUCCCCACUACAAUAUAUGGCUUAUGAAAUCAAGGUAGUUGUCUGUGUUAUAUAUCAUUGUAUGACUAGAUGCAAUACUUAAAAUAUUACCUAGAGCAUAGUAGGUGCUUGAUAAAUGUUCAUUAAACCUUAAGUUAAACAAAAUUGAUGCACGUAAAAACUAUAUCCUCAUUAAUUAUUUUGUUUUCUUUUUCUCCUGCUUAGUAUGUUAAAGCCCUCCAUUUUGAUUGUGGAACUGCCUUUUAGUACUAUUUUUCUCCGCUUAAAUAUUAAAGGUAUUUUAUUACUUGCAUACAAAUUAAGAGUUGAUGCUUUCUUUCUACAAUGACCAUUUUAUUAGUAUAAAAUGUCUUUUAACUUGUCAUGCUUGCUGCAAGGAAGU